rnacentral:rRNA from 1 species
UACGAAGGGGGCUAGCGUUGCUCGGAAUCACUGGGCGUAAAGGGUGCGUAGGCGGGUCUUUAAGUCAGGGGGGAAAUCCUGGAGCUCAACUCCAGAACUGCCUUUGAUACUGAGGAUCUUGAGUUCGGGAGAGGUGAGUGGAACUGCGAGUGUAGAGGUGAAAUUCGUAGAUAUUCGCAAGAACACCAGUGGCGAAGGCGGCUCACUGGCCCGAUACUGACGCUGAGACGCGAAAGCGUGGGGAGCGAACAGG